rnacentral:rRNA from 1 species
AUACGGAGGAUCCGAGCGUUAUCCGGAUUUAUUGGGAUUAAAGGGUGCGCAGGCGGCCAUUUAAGUCAGCGGUUAAAUCGUGGGGCUCAACCCCAUUCUGCCGUUGAUACUGGGUGGCUUGAUUGCGGUCGAGGUUGGCGGAAUUCGUUGUGUAGCGGUGAAAUGCAUAGAUAUGACGAAGAACACCGAUUGCGUAGGCAGCUGACCAGAACGCAAAUGACGCUCAUGCACGAAAGUGCGGGGAUCGAACAGGAUUAGAUACCCUGGUAGUCCGCACAGUAAACGAUGAAUACUUGUUUUCGGCGAUAUAAUGUCGGAGGCAAAGCGAAAGCGAUAAGUAUUCCACCUGGGGAGUACGCCGGCAACGGUGAAACUCAAAUGAAUUGACGGGG